AUGAAAGAUUGCAAUCCAAGUCAUGUUCCGAUGAAGCCUCGUCUCAGACUAAGCAAGAAGAGUGAAGCACCCGCGGUUGAUGCAACGGAGUAUAGAAGUGUGGUCCGAAAGUUGAGGUAUCUCACGAAUACAAGACCGGACUUGGCCUAUUCCGUUGGCAUAGUGAGUCGCUUCAUGGAAGCACCCACGACGGAGCAUUGGGCAGCGGUGGAAAAUAUACUCAGGUACAUCAAAGGGACAACAAAUUUCGGUUGUGUCUACUUGAGAAAGAAGAAGAAGGAGAUGGUGGAGCUACUUGGCUACAGUGAUAGCGACAUGGCAGGAGAUGUGGACGACCGUAAAAGUACCUCGGGCGUGGCAUAUUUUUUGGGAGGAAGCAUAGUGAGUUGGCUGUCACAAAAGCAGAAGGUGGUCGCAUUAUCAUCUCGUGAAGCAGAGUAUAUUGCAGCUGCAACCGCGGUGUGUCAAGGUGUGUGCCUUGGAAGGCUACUCGGUGACCUCACAGGUAAGGAACCGGAAGGAGUGGUGUUCAAUAUUGAUGACGUGUCUACAAUCUCUCUAUGA
rnacentral:rRNA from 1 species